UGCAGUCGAGUCUCUGCCUUCUAGUCUCUAGUGGCCUCACUGUGUGUCCUCGGCAAGUUCCGGUCCCUCUGAGGGCCUCAGUCUCUCUGUGAAGUUGAAGAGGCCUGGGACCAGACCAUCUGCCAUAUUCCUGUUUCUGUGACUUGAGCCCCAGGGCACCCACUCUGCCGGCAUUCACGGGGUGCCGAGUGGGCCCAGGUGACAAAUUCUACCACCAGUAAUCACUUGUGAAAAAUCAACAGUGAAGCCCAGCAGCUCCCGGGCCCCCGGAGAAAUCUGAGUGGAUUUCCGGAAGAACAAGUCCAAUCUCUGCCCUGCUGCCCUCCAUCUGUCUAUUUCUCUCCUAGACUUUGGCUUCAGACAGAUGUGGUUUCAAAGCUGCAGCCCCGGCCUUCCUCAGCUGUGUGACCUUGGCUACGUCCACGUGCCCAUUGCCUCGCCUAGGCCUCACUUUUCUCAUCUGUAUCAUGGAGUUGGCACCCCCGGCUCUGGCCUCAAGGUUUGCCGCACCUGCAGAGGCCCCUGAGCAUUCAGCAGGUGCUCACUCAGCGGGAGCUGCCAGACGUUGAAUGUGUGAUGGGAAUCAUUGGAUGCUGCCGCCUCUCCGCCCACCCACCACCUGACACCGCCUCCUGGCUCUCCAUCACUGCCCAGGAGUCGGGCAGCCUCCCCGCUCCCUGCUAUUUCUUCUCUGGAGCUUCCCAGGAGGUUAAUAGCAGCUUCUCACCAGGAUAUUUGGCUUUUUUAGGAAUCUCCUUGCCUCUUUCUUCUCUGUGAGGAUACUCUCAGGAUGGCUGCGGUGGAGAAGGGAAGGAAGGAGACUCUCGAGGCAUUUGCCAACUAAGGGGGGCACUUAGGGGUAGGUGGGGGGGCCAGUUCCGGGCAGGAC